ACCAUUAGGGCAACUAUGAUCCUUUGGCAGUGUAUCAGUAUGAAUUAUAUUGCUUUACACAGUUCAUGUUACCAUGAUAAUGGGGAAUNNNNNNNGUGAUCUUUAAAUUUGACCUUGUUAUGCUACUGGUAUUAGCUCUUUUCUUGUUUGUUUGUUGAUGAAGAACACGACAGAUGAUUUUCUUGGCUUCAUUAUCAUGGAUCUUGAUUUUGUUUCUUAUUCAAUGUCUUUUGCUUAACUAUGUUAUGAAUGUGAAUCUCCUAUCAUUUCUUGAGAGUAUUUUCUUGUAUUUCUUGGGAAUUACCAUAAGAUUAGGGGAUCUAGCCAGUGAAAUCUCAGCUCGUGUUCAAUAGGUAUAUUUCUUUUUUUAUUCUUCGCUUAAACUAAUAAGAUAAAAUAAUAGAGAAUGUUUUCUAUCUCUUAUAGUUUUCUAUCCCUCCCAUUUGGUCUGAUCGGUCCGACGUUGUUCCCCGGCCCACCGGCAAAGGCGGGGAGGAUGAGGAAAAUGAAGAGAAGGUUUAGUUGUAUGUGAAAGUAAAAGCAAGGUCAUGAUGGUUUUAAAACCAUUAGG
rnacentral:misc_RNA from 1 species